rnacentral:misc_RNA from 1 species
GAUGAAGAACGCAGCGAAAUGCGAUAAGUAGUGUGAAUUGCAGAAUUCAGUGAAUCAUCGAAUCUUUGAACGCACAUUGCGCCCCCUGGUAUUCCGGGGGGCAUGCCUGUUCGAGCGUCAUUUCACCACUCAAGCCUCGCUUGGUAUUGGGCAACGCGGUCCGCCGCGUGCCUCAAAUCGUCCGGCUGGGUCUUCUGUCCCCUAAGCGUUGUGGAAACUAUUCGCUAAAGGGUGUUCGGGAGGCUACGCCGUAAAACAACCCCAUUUCUAAGGUUGACCUCGGAUCAGGUAGGGAUACCCGCUGAACUUAAGCAUAUCAAUAAGCGGAGGA